ACUGUUCAAACUCACCAUUUGCUGGGCAAACAUGUUGCGUGUUACAUUUUAUGCAUUGAUGACAUGUGCAGCAUUCUUAACUGGUGUUAAUUGUGCAGACUGGAUUUCACAAGAGCUGACUGCAACAAAAGUAUUCGAAGGAAACUCAGUGACCAUUAAUUUCAGAUACUCGACCAAAUCGACGUCAUACUCCUUACAGCUGUAUCGUCAGUACCACGGAAAAGCUCUCACAUUCUUGAUAUACAUCCCUAACUAUGGAGAUCCUUUCAGAGCAGACGGAGUGGGGACUCGAUUUUCAUCGUCUCUGGACACUUCGAACAGUGAAGGCAAUUUCACCAUUGGUGAGCUGCAGCUGUCUGACAGCGCGGUGUAUUACUGCGGACUGAAAGACACAGUGACAGUACCCAGAGGAAGCCUCGUACAAAAACUCUGCCGCAAUGCAACGAAGCUGCACUGA